rnacentral:rRNA from 1 species
GCAAGUCGAACGGUAGAGGGGGCAACCCCUUGAGAGUGGCGAACGGGUGAGUAAUAUAUCGGAACGUGCCCAGUCGUGGGGGAUAACGUAGUGAAAAUUACGCUAAUACCGCAUACGAUCUAAGGAUGAAAGCGGGGGAUCGCAAGACCUCGCGCGACUGGAGCGGCCGAUAUCAGAUUAGGUAGUUGGUAGGGUAAAGGCCUACCAAGCCAACGAUCUGUAGCUGGUCUGAGAGGACGACCAGCCACACUGGAACUGAGACACGGUCCAGACUCCUACGGGAGGCAGCAGUGGGGAAUUUUGGACAAUGGGCGAAAGCCUGAUCCAGCCAUUCCGCGUGCAGGAUGAAGGCCCUCGGGUUGUAAACUGCUUUUGUACAGAACGAAAAAGUUUCUAUUAAUACUAGGAGCUCAUGACGGUACUGUAAGAAUAAGCACCGGCUAACUACGUGCCAGCAGCCGCGGUAAUACGUAGGGUGCAAGCGUUAAUCGGAAUUACUGGGCGUAAAGCGUGCGCAGGCGGUUAUAUAAGUCAGAUGUGAAAUCCCCGGGCUCAACCUGGGAACUGCAUUUGAGACUGUAUAGCUAGAGUACGGUAGAGGGGGAUGGAAUUCCGCGUGUAGCAGUGAAAUGCGUAGAUAUGCGGAGGAACACCGAUGGCGAAGGCAAUCCCCUGGACCUGUACUGACGCUCAUGCACGAAAGCGUGGGGAGCAAACAGGAUUAGAUACCCUGGUAGUCCACGCCCUAAACGAUGUCAACUGGUUGUUGGGUCUUAACUGACUCAGUAACGAAGCUAACGCGUGAAGUUGACCGCCUGGGGAGUACAGCCGCAAGGUUGAAGCUCAAAGGAAUUGACGGGGACCCCACAAGCGGUGGAUGAUGUGAUUUAAUUCGAUGCAACGCGCAAAACCUUACCCACCUUUGACAUGUAC